CCGCCAUGUUGUACGGCAACUGGCGUGCGGUCCGUGCCUGGGGGCCUGGAUGCGCGUCAGCAAUCCCCAAUAGUGCCGCGUAAAGCUCUUUUGGGAAUCGCUGUAGAAACAAAUGCAAAUGAGAAAGGGAGCUGCAAAGGGCCGAGGUUUCCCAGCCUGACUGUUGAGAUGAGAAAGCAGGCAAGUGACUGAAGGCAGAUGCCCUGUUCAUAUUAGAGAUCUGUCCUGGAUGGUCUUCAUUAUUAAAUUUAUACCUAUCUUCCUCGACUUACGAUGGGUUACAUCCCAGUGAACUCAUCGUAUGAUGAAGAUAUGAUGAUGAUAUCCUUGAGGGGAAGAUUGAUAUUUUAUUCAUUUUGUCAUCUUUAAGUUUAUUCAGAGGAAAGAAGCAAGGUAUAAAUGUAUAAAUAAAAU